rnacentral:rRNA from 1 species
AGCUUGAAGAUCUUUCUACUUCAAGUCAUACCUGCCCAGUGAGGAAAAAUCUCUUUAACGGCCGCAGUACUUUGACUGUGCUAAGGUAGCAUAAUCACUUGUCUUCUAAUUAAAGACUGGAAUGAAUGGAUAUAUGGGGGAGAACUGUCUUUAAUAGAUUUCUUUGAAGUUACUGAGAAGGUGAAAAUUCCUUUAGUUUUGACAAAAGACGAGAAGACCCUAAGAAUUUUUAAAAAAGAGAUUAAUAACUGAUAUAUUUUUGUUGGGGCAACAUGGAGUCAUCUAUAAAUACUCUUUUAUUAACCUUAACAGACCAAAUAAAUUUUUCAUGAUAUAAAUUACCUUAGGGAUAACAGCGUAAUUUCUUGAGAAGGUUACGACCUCGAUGUUGGACUAGGAACUCUAGGUGGGAAACCAAAGAAGAUU